rnacentral:rRNA from 1 species
AUACGGAAGGUCCGGGCGUUACCCGGAUUUAUUGGGUUUAAAGGGAGCGCAGGCGGAGAUGCAAGCGUGACGUCAAAUUUCGGGGCUCAACCCCGUCUCGCGUCGCGAACUGCGUCCCUUGGUUGCGGGAAGGGGAGGCGGAACUCGUGGUUUAGCGGCGAAAUGCAUAGAUAUCACGAAGAACUCCGAUCGCGAAGGCAGCCUUCCGGCCCGUCAACGACGCUCAUGUUCGAAGGUGCGGGUAUCAAACAGGAUUAGAUACCCUGGUAGUCCGCACAGUAAACGAUGGACACCCGCGGUUUGGCCUAUAUGGCUGAGCCGCCAAGCGAAAGCGUUAAGUGUCCCACCUGGGGAGUACGCCGGCAACGGUGAAACUCAAAGGAAUUGACGGGG